AGAGGGAUAGCUGGGUCAAAUGGUGGUUCCAUUCCAAGUUUUCCAAGGAAUCUCCAUAUUGCUUUCCAUAUUGGUUGCACCAAUUUGCAAUCCUACCAGCAAU
rnacentral:pre_miRNA from 1 species